rnacentral:rRNA from 1 species
UGCUAUACAUGCAAGUCGAGCGGACAGAUGGGAGCUUGCUCCCUGAUGUUAGCGGCGGACGGGUGAGUAACACGUGGGUAACCUGCCUGUAAGACUGGGAUAACUCCGGGAAACCGGGGCUAAUACCGGAUGCUUGUUUGAACCGCAUGGUUCAGACAUAAAAGGUGGCUUCGGCUACCACUUACAGAUGGACCCGCGGCGCAUUAGCUAGUUGGUGAGGUAACGGCUCACCAAGGCAACGAUGCGUAGCCGACCUGAGAGGGUGAUCGGCCACACUGGGACUGAGACACGGCCCAGACUCCUACGGGAGGCAGCAGUAGGGAAUCUUCCGCAAUGGACGAAAGUCUGACGGAGCAACGCCGCGUGAGUGAUGAAGGUUUUCGGAUCGUAAAGCUCUGUUGUUAGGGAAGAACAAGUGCCGUUC